AUUGAACGCUGGCGGCAUGCCUUACACAUGCAAGUCGAACGGCAGCACGGGGACAACCCUGGUGGCGAGUGGCGAACGGGUGAGUAAUACAUCGGAACGUGUCCUUUCGUGGGGGAUAACCAGUCGAAAGACUGGCUAAUACCGCAUGAGAUCUCACGAUGAAAGCGAGGGACCGCAAGGCCUCGCGCGAUUGGAGCGGCCGAUGUCGGAUUAGCUAGUUGGCGGGGUAAAAGCCCACCAAGGCGACGAUCCGUAGCUGGUUUGAGAGAACGACCAGCCACACUGGGACUGAGACACGGCCCAGACUCCUACGGGAGGCAGCAGUGGGGAAUUUUGGACAAUGGGCGCAAGCCUGAUCCAGCCAUGCCGCGUGUGUGAAGAAGGCCUUCGGGUUGUAAAGCACUUUCGGCCGGAACGAAAUCGCGCGGGUUAACAGUCCGCGUGGAUGACGGUACCGGAAGAAGAAGCACCGGCUAACUACGUGCCAGCAGCCGCAGUAA
rnacentral:rRNA from 1 species